GAUGAACGCUAGCUACAGGCUUAACACAUGCAAGUCGAGGGGAAACGGCAUUUAGUGCUUGCACUGAAUGGACGUCGACCGGCGCACGGGUGAGUAACGCGUAUCCAACCUACCCAUUACUGUGGGAUAACCUGCCGAAAGGCAGACUAAUACCGCAUAGUCUUCGAUGACGGCAUCAGAUUUGAAGUAAAGAUUUAUCGGUAAUGGAUGGGGAUGCGUCUGAUUAGCUUGUUGGCGGGGUAACGGCCCACCAAGGCGACGAUCAGUAGGGGUUCUGAGAGGAAGGUCCCCCACAUUGGAACUGAGACACGGUCCAAACUCCUACGGGAGGCAGCAGUGAGGAAUAUUGGUCAAUGGGCGAGAGCCUGAACCAGCCAAGUAGCGUGCAGGAUGACGGCCCUAUGGGUUGUAAACUGCUUUUGUAUGGGGAUAAAGUCAAUCACGUGUGAUUGUUUGCAGGUACCAUACGAAUAAGGACCGGCUAAUUCCGUGCCAGCAGCCGCGGUAAUACGGAAGGUCCAGGCGUUAUCCGGAUUUAUUGGGUUUAAAGGGAGCGUAGGCUGGAGAUUAAGUGUGUUGUGAAAUGUAGACGCUCAACGUCUGAAUUGCAGCGCAUACUGGUUUCCUUGAGUACGCACAACGUUGGCGGAAUUCGUCGUGUAGCGGUGAAAUGCUUAGAUAUGACGAAGAACUCCGAUUGCGAAGGCAGCUGACGGGAGCGCAACUGACGCUUAAGCUCGAAGGUGCGGGUAUCGAACAGG
rnacentral:rRNA from 1 species